GUAUCAAUCCUCUUUAUAUAGACUAAGCGUAUCUCCUCCACCCCACGCCACCAAUCUAAGCCAAUUAAAUACCAAAUUAUCUGAUUGAUUCCACAGAUCUCUUCUCUGAGAAGUCCCACCCCGUCAUGAUACGUAUGAAUCUGCCAUACGAUCAAUACCUUCCAAAGUCGGAGCAAAGCAGAUCUGUAAUUCUUUUCCUUAAUCUCCAACCCAACUACUUCCCCUAUCUGGUUUAGAAUCACACGUUGGAGGUUCCGUAGUUGAGAUACUAUCGACCAAACUUCGAAGAAACAAACUCGAGAGCUAGCUCGCAAUAAAUACCAAAAUCCCACAAUUCCCAAUUUUCCAUUUUUUCCGAGAUCUCGUUGGAUCUCAAUCGUAUCUGUAGUAUCAGAUCCU
rnacentral:lncRNA from 1 species